ensembl:snRNA U2 U2 spliceosomal RNA
AUCGCUUCUCGGCCUUUUGGUUAAGAUCAAUUGUAGUAUCUGGUCUUAUCGAACGGAAACGAAAUUGAUCAGUCAAGAGGUGGCAGAUUUUAUGCGUGAUUUUAAUUGUGUUUUAUUCUUU